rnacentral:rRNA from 1 species
AUUGAACGCUGGCGGAAUGCUUUACACAUGCAAGUCGAACGGUAGAGGGGGCAACCCCUCGAGAGUGGCGAACGGGUGAGUAAUAUAUCGGAACGUGCCCAGUCGUGGGGGAUAACGUAGCGAAAGUUACGCUAAUACCGCAUACGAUCUAAGGAUGAAAGCGGGGGAUCGCAAGACCUCGCGCGAUUGGAGCGGCCGAUAUCAGAUUAGGUAGUUGGGGGGGUAAAGGCUCACCAAGCCAACGAUCUGUAGCUGGUCUGAGAGGACGACCAGCCACCCUGGACCUGAGACACGGUCCAGACUCCUACGGGAGGCAGCAGUGGGGAAUUUUGGACAAUGGACGCAAGUCUGAUCCAGCCAUUCCGCGUGCAGGAUGAAGGCCCUCGGGUUGUAAACUGCUUUUGUACGGAACGAAAAGGUCUCUCUUAAUACGGGGGGCUCAUGACGGUACCGUAAGAAUAAGCACCGGCUAACUACGUGCCAGCCGCCGCGGUAA